AACGAACGCUGGCGGCAGGCCUAACACAUGCAAGUCGAGCGAAGCCUUCGGGCUUAGCGGCGGACGGGUGAGUAACGCGUGGGAACGUGCCCUUUGCUACGGAAUAGCCCCGGGAAACUGGGAGUAAUACCGUAUGUGCCCUUCGGGGGAAAGAUUUAUCGGCAAAGGAUCGGCCCGCGUUGGAUUAGGUAGUUGGUGGGGUAAUGGCCUACCAAGCCGACGAUCCAUAGCUGGUUUGAGAGGAUGAUCAGCCACUGGGACUGAGACACGGCCCAGACUCCUACGGGAGGCAGCAGUGGGGAAUCUUAGACAAUGGGGGAAACCCUGAUCUAGCCAUGCCGCGUGAUCGAUGAAGGCCUUAGGGUUGUAAAGAUCUUUCAGUGGGGAAGAUAAUGACUGUACCCACAGAAGAAGCCCCGGCUAACUCCGUGCCAGCCGCCGCCGUAAAAC
rnacentral:rRNA from 1 species